UCGCAGGAGAGAUGGCACUUAG
rnacentral:miRNA from 1 species